rnacentral:rRNA from 1 species
GACGAACGCUGGCGGCGUGCUUAACACAUGCAAGUCGAACGGUGAAGCGCCUUCCUUUUUGGUGGGUGUGGAUGAGUGGCGAACGGGUGAGUAACACGUGAGUAACCUGCCCCCUUCUUCUGGAUAACCGCAUGAAAGUGUGGCUAAUACGGGAUAUUCUGGGUCUGUCGCAUGAUGGGUCUGGGAAAGAUAUUGUUUCGGUGGGGGAUGGGCUCGCGGCCUAUCAGCUUGUUGGUGGGGUGAUGGCCUACCAAGGCGGGGACGGGUAGCCGGCCUGAGAGGGUGGACGGUCACACUGGGACUGAGACACCGCCCAUACUCCUACGGGAGGCAGUAGUGGGGAUUAUUGCACAGUGGGCGCCAGCCUGAUGCAGCCACGCCGCGUGAGGGCUGGAGGCCUGCGGGUUGUGAACCUCUUUCGCCAGUGAAGCAGGCCUGCCUCGUUUGUGGGUGGGUUGACGGUAGCUGGAUAAGAAGCGCCGGCUAACUACGUG